rnacentral:rRNA from 2 species
AACUGCGACCCCAGGUCAGGCGGG